rnacentral:rRNA from 1 species
AUUGAACGCUGGCGGCAUGCUUUACACAUGCAAGUCGGACGGCAGCACAGAGAAGCUUGCUUCUUGGGUGGCGAGUGGCGAACGGGUGAGUAACAUAUCGGAACGUACCGAGCAGUGGGGGAUAACUAAUCGAAAGAUUAGCUAAUACCGCAUAUCUUCUGAGGAAGAAAGCAGGGGACCAUUUGGCCUUGCGCUGUUUGAGCGGCCGAUAUCUGAUUAGCUAGUUGGUGGGGUAAAGGCCUACCAAGGCGACGAUCAGUAGCGGGUCUGAGAGGAUGAUCCGCCACACUGGGACUGAGACACGGCCCAGACUCCUACGGGAGGCAGCAGUGGGGAAUUUUGGACAAUGGGCGCAAGCCUGAUCCAGCCAUGCCGCGUGUCUGAAGAAGGCCUUCGGGUUGUAAAGGACUUUUGUCAGGGAAGAAAAGGGCGG